rnacentral:rRNA from 1 species
CGGGGUACACGAACGGCGAACGGGUGAGUAACACGUGGGUGAUCUGCCCUGCACUUCGGGAUAAGCCUGGGAAACUGGGUCUAAUACCGGAUAUGACCUCCUGUUGCAUGACUUGGGGUGGAAAGAUUUAUCGGUGCAGGAUGGGCCCGCGGCCUAUCAGCUUGUUGGUGGGGUAAUGGCCUACCAAGGCGACGACGGGUAGCCGACCUGAGAGGGUGACCGGCAACACUGGGACUGAGACACGGCCCAGACUCCUACGGGAGGCAGCAGUGGGGAAUAUUGCACAAUGGGCGAAAGCCUGAUGCAGCGACGCCGCGUGAGGGAUGACGGCCUUCGGGUUGUAAACCUCUUUCAGCAGGGACGAAGCGCAAGUGACGGUACCUGCAGAAGAAGCACCGGCUAACUACGUGCCAGCAGCCGCGGUAAUACGUAGGGUGCAAGCGUUGUCCGGAAUUACUGGGCGUAAAGAGUUCGUAGGCGGUUUGUCGCGUCGUUUGUGAAAACCAGCAGCUCAACUGCUGGCUUGCAGGCGAUACGGGCAGACUUGAGUACUGCAGGGGAGACUGGAAUUCCUGGUGUAGCGGUGAAAUGCGCAGAUAUCAGGAGGAACACCGGUGGCGAAGGCGGGUCUCUGGGCAGUAACUGACGCUGAGGAACGAAAGCGUGGGUAGCGAACAGGAUUAGAUACCCUGGUAGUCCACGCCGUAAACGGUGGGCGCUAGGUGUGGGUUCCUUCCACGGAAUCCGUGCCGUAGCUAACGCA